rnacentral:rRNA from 1 species
UACGAAGGGGGCAAGCGUUGUUCGGAAUUACUGGGCGUAAAGGGCGCGUAGGCGGCUUACCAAGUCAGGCGUGAAAUUCCCGGGCUCAACCUGGGGGCUGCGCUUGAUACUGGUGAGCUUGAAUGCGGGAGAGGAUAGUGGAAUUCCCAGUGUAGAGGUGAAAUUCGUAGAUAUUCGCAAGAACACCAGUGGCGAAGGCGGCUCACUGGUCCGGUUCUGACGCUGAGGCGCGAAAGCGUGGGGAGCAAACAGG